CGGGAAGGCCUGUUUUAGAUACCCGUUUAAGUGAGGAAAUGUUUUAUUUAUAAAUACCUUUUUACUCUUUUUCUUUUAUUUUCCCCCUCGCCGUUUCUUUCUUCCCCGCACCCUCACUCGAGCCUCGCCCGCGCCUCUUCUGUUCCUCUCGCCGAACUCGGCACCGAGCCUUCUUCCCCGCCAAAUGCUGUGCCCUAACUGCCACUCGGCGGUUCCUUCUCCUCGUCGCGUGCCCUAGUCCUUACCCGUGCCUAUUUCAUUUCGGCGCCGAUCUUUUUCCUUCCCUAAGUCUUGACGCCGUGCCCUAGUUUUUCUGUGAGCUCUCGCCGGCUGAACCCUUCUUCCCUUCUGUUUUCUACCUCCGGCCGCCGAGCAAAGCUGUCUUCUAUGUGCCCUAGCCGCGAGCCACCCGAGCACCAUCGCACCUCUGUCCUAGGUGACGGCCAAAGGGGGAAAGGACCGUUCCCUAGAUCUAUUCCUCACUGCCGCACGAAACAGCGCCACCAGCCGGUCUCAUCGGGCCCUAGCAUUGUCGCCGGAUCCUUGAUCACCUCUGAUCAGUGGAGAGGAAGAAGCAGGGAGAUUGUACUAGGUGGGUAGUUCUUGGUCCGACCCAUCUUGAUCCAGCGUUAACAGUGGCUAGGUAGUGAGGUUAACCAGAGGUAUUUGGUUGGAACGACAGCAGGCGUCUUCGGCAGUGACUCAACAGCCGAAUAUGCAUAUUUGGGACUCUGAUUCGAGAUGAGCAUCUCAACGUCAGAUUUGGACUGGAUUGGACCUUCUAUUUGAGG